AGAGUUUGAUCCUGGCUCAGAUUGAACGCUGGCGGCAUGCCUAACACAUGCAUGACGAGCGAGGGUAGCAAUACCUUAGUGGCGGACGGGUGAGGAAUACAUAGGAAUUUGCCCUUAAGUGGGGGAUAGCCCGGGGAAACCCGGAUUAAUACCGCAUGAACUCGUGAGAGCAAAGUCGGGGACCUUCGGGCCUGGCGCUUUUGGAGAAGCCUAUGUCGGAUUAGCUAGUUGGUGAGGUAAUGGCUCACCAAGGCUGCGAUCCGUAACUGGUCUGAGAGGAUGAUCAGUCACACCGGAACUGAGACACGGUCCGGACUCCUACGGGAGGCAGCAGUGGGGAAUAUUGGACAAUGGCCGAAAGCCUGAUCCAGCAAUGCCGCGUGUGUGAAGAAGGCCUUCGGGUUGUAAAGCACUUUAGGCUGGAAAGAAAAAGCUUUGGCUAAUAUCCAAAGCCUUGACGGUACCAGCAGAAUAAGCACCGGCUAACUCUGUGCCAGCAGCCGCGGUAAUACAGAGGGUGCAAGCGUUAAUCGGAUUUACUGGCCGUAAAGCGUGCGUAGGCGGCUAUUUAAGUCGGAUGUGAAAGCCCUGGGCUUAACCUGGGAACUGCAUUCGAUACUGGGUAGCUGGAGAUCGGUAGAGGGCGGCGGAAUUCCGGGUGUAGCGGUGAAAUGCGUAGAUAUCCGGAGGAACACCGAUGGCGAAGGCAACCGCCUGGGCCUGAUCUGACGCUGAGGCACGAAAGCGUGUGGAGCAAACAGGAUUACAUACCCUGCUAGUCCACGCUGUAAACGAUGAGAACUUGACGUCCGCUUGCUCUGCGAGUGCGUGUCGAAGCUAACGCGCUAAGUUCUCCGCCUGGGGAGUACGGCCGGCAAGGUUGAAACUCAAAGGAAUUGACGGGGGACCGCACAAGCGCCCGAGUAUGUGGUUUAAUUCGAUGCUUG
rnacentral:rRNA from 1 species